AUUGAACGCUGGCGGCAUGCCUUACACAUGCAAGUCGAACGGCAGCACGGGCUUCGGUCUGGUGGCGAGUGGCGAACGGGUGAGUAAAGCAUCGGAACGUACCCGGAAGUGGGGAAUAACGUAGCGAAAGUUACGCUAAUACCGCAUAUUCUGUGCGCAGGAAAGAGGGGGAUCUUCGGACCUCUUGCUUUCGGAGCGGCCGAUGUCAGAUUAGCUAGUUGGUGGGGUAAAGGCCUACCAAGGCGACGAUCUGUAGCGGGUCUGAGAGGAUGAUCCGCCACACUGGGACUGAGACACGGCCCAGACUCCUACGGGAGGCAGCAGUGGGGAAUUUUGGACAAUGGGCGCAAGCCUGAUCCAGCCAUGCCGCGUGAGUGAAGAAGGCCUUCGGGUUGUAAAGCUCUUUCGGCCGGGAAGAAAUCGCACCAGUUAAUACCUGGUGUGGAUGACGGUACCGGAAUAAGAAGCACCGGCUAACUACGUGCCAGCCGCCGCCGUAACAC
rnacentral:rRNA from 1 species